UUGACCUCGGAUCAGGUAGGACUACCCGCUGAACUUAAGCAUAUCAAUAAGCGGAGGAAAAGAAACCAACAGGGAUUGCCCCAGUAACGGCGAGUGAAGCGGCAACAGCUCAGAUUUGGAAUCUGGCCCCCAGGGCCCGAGUUGUAAUCUGGAGAGGAUGCUUCUGGCGCGGCGCCUUCCGAGUUCCCUGGAACGGGACGCCGGAGAGGGUGAGAGCCCCGUACGGUUGGACGCCUAGCCUUUGUGAAGCUCCUUCGACGAGUCGAGUAGUUUGGGAAUGCUGCUCAAAAUGGGAGGUAAAUUUCUUCUAAAGCUAAAUACCGGCCAGAGACCGAUAGCGCACAAGUAGAGUGAUCGAAAGAUGAAAAGCACUUUGAAAAGAGGGUCAAACAGUACGUGAAAUUGUUGAAAGGGAAGCGCCCGUGGCCAGACUUGUGCCCCGCGGACCACCCGGCGCCCUCAGCGCCGGUGCACUCCGCGGGGCGCAGGCCAGCAUCGGUUUUCCUAGGGGGAUAAAGGCGGCGGGAACGUGGCUCCCUCGGGAGUGUUAUAGCCCGCCGCGCCAUGCCCCUGGGGGGACCGAGGACCGCGCUUCGGCAAGGAUGCUGGCGUAAUGGCCACCGGCGACCCGUCUUGAAACACGGACCAAGGAGUCAAGCAUUGGGGCGAGUGUCUGGGUGCCAAACCCGCACGCGAAAUGAAAGUGAACGCAGGUGAGAGCUUCGGCGCAUCAUCGACCGAUCCUGAUGUUCUCGGAUGGAUUUGAGUAAGAGCCUUACCGCUUGGACCCGAAAGAUGGUGAACUAUGCCUGUAUAGGGUGAAGCCAGAGGAAACUCUGGUGGAGGCUCGCAGCGGUUCUGACGUGCAAAUCGAUCGUCAAAUAUGGGCAUGGGGGCGAAAGACUAAUCGAACC
rnacentral:rRNA from 1 species